ensembl:lncRNA
CAACAUCACUCACUCUUCCUGCUGCCUGCUGAUCUAAUUGUAGAAUUCUCAGCUUCUUUCCCAGUACCAUGUCUGUCUACAAACUGCCAUGUUCCCUGCCAUGAUGAUAAUGGACUAAGCCUCUGAAUUGCAUGACUGUAUGUAGUAAAAUCCUCCCAGAAAACAGUGACAUAUGAAAGGUCUGGAGGCUAUGAAAAAGGAAAACCCUGAUUUACAAGGAAGGAACCACGCGCCCAGCAUGACUCCAGAGACGGUCCUGACUGGGGUGGUGAAGGAAUGAAGACAAGACACACACAGGGACAAAGCUGGGAUCAGGUCAAUGUUCCGCUGGAGUCUUCACUCUGCCUCCCUCAGAUCUCUACAUAAGCUAUUCAAGAAAGCCACAAUGUUGUCAACAUGGGGAAAAAAUAUCACAUAUUCUUUAUAUAGAAGUUUACCUAGCAGACAUAUCUUUAACCAGUGGCUUCGGGUUUCUGUCUGAACGUAGAGCUGAAAACCACGUACCAGGAGUGCUGAUACACCCGACAGCAGAGAUCUGGAGAACUCUCUGGUUUAGAACUCUGGGCCAAGAUUACCAUCUACAAAGAUCUUUGGAGAGCAAUAAAUUGUUAGGCUAAUUUGGAAAGCCACAGAAAAUGUUUUAUUUUAAUUAUGUUUGAC